AGCAAUGAUGAAUGGAAGUAUAGUGUGACUUGGUAUUACCAGCAUCCUUGGUGGUUCUGACCAAGACAUGAUCACAUAAUCUUCUCUCUGAGCUA